rnacentral:rRNA from 1 species
AUUGAACGCUGGCGGCAUGCUUUACACAUGCAAGUCGAACGGCAGCGCGGGCUUCGGCCUGGCGGCGAGUGGCGAACGGGUGAGUAAUGCAUCGGAACGUGCCCAGUAGUGGGGGAUAGCCCGGCGAAAGCCGGAUUAAUACCGCAUACGACCUGAGGGUGAAAGCGGGGGACCGAAAGGCCUCGCGCUAUUGGAGCGGCCGAUGUCGGAUUAGCUAGUUGGUGGGGUAAAGGCUUACCAAGGCGACGAUCCGUAGCUGGUCUGAGAGGACGACCAGCCACACUGGGACUGAGACACGGCCCAGACUCCUACGGGAGGCAGCAGUGGGGAAUUUUGGACAAUGGGGGCAACCCUGAUCCAGCCAUGCCGCGUGGGGGAAGAAGGCCUUCGGGUUGUAAACCGCUUUUGUUCGGGAAGAAAUCCUCUGGGCUAAUACCCCGGGGGGAUGACGGUAUCGGAAGAAUAAGCACCGGCUAACUACGUG